GCAGCCGCCGCGGGAAUACGUAGGUGGCAAGCGUUGUCCGGAAUUAUUGGGCGUAAAGGGCUCGCAGGCGGUUUCUUAAGUCUGAUGUGAAAGCCCCCGGCUCAACCGGGGAGGGUCAUUGGAAACUGGGAAACUUGAGUGCAGAAGAGGAGAGUGGAAUUCCACGUGUAGCGGUGAAAUGCGUAGAGAUGUGGAGGAACACCAGUGGCGGAGGCGACUCUCUGGUCUGUAACUGACGCUGAGGAGCGAAAGCGUGGGGAGCGAACAGGAUUAGAUACCCGUGUAGUCCCUGUCUCUUAUAA
rnacentral:rRNA from 1 species